GGAUGAACGCUGGCGGCGUGCCUAAUACAUGCAAGUCGAGCGAACGGACGAGAAGCUUGCUUCUCUGAUGUUAGCGGCGGACGGGUGAGUAACACGUGGAUAACCUACCUAUACGACUGGGAUAACUUCGGGAAACCGGAGCUAAUACCGGAUAAUAUUUUGAACCGCAUGGUUCAAAAGUAAAAGACGGUCUUGCUGUCACUUAUAGAUGGAUCCGCGCUGCAUUAGCUAGUUGGUAAGGUAACGGCUUACCAAGGCAACGAUGCAUAGCCGACCUGAGAGGGUGAUCGGCCACACUGGAACUGAGACACGGUCCAGACUCCUACGGGAGGCAGCAGUAGGGAAUCUUCCGCAAAGGGCGAAAGCCUGACGGAGCAACGCCGCGUGAGUGAUGAAGGUCUUCGGAUCGUAAAACUCUGUUAUUAGGGAAGAACAUAUGUGUAAGUAACUGUGCACAUCUUGACGGUACCUAAUCAGAAAGCCACGGCUAACUACGUG
rnacentral:rRNA from 1 species